UACGUAGGGGGCAAGCGUUGUCCGGCUUUAUUGGGCGUAAAGAGCGUGUAGGCGGCUGGGUAGGUCCGUUGUGAAAACUCGAGGCUCAACCUCGAGACGCCGAUGGAAACCCUCCAGCUAGAGUCCGGAAGAGGAGAGUGGAAUUCCUGGUGUAGCGGUGAAAUGCGCAGAUAUCAGGAAGAACACCCGUGGCUAAGGCGGCUCUCUAGUACGGUACUGACGCUGAGACGCGAAAGCGUGGGGAGCAAACAGG
rnacentral:rRNA from 1 species